rnacentral:rRNA from 1 species
UUUGGAAAGAAUUUCGGUCAAGGAUGAGCUCGCGGCCUAUCAGCUUGUUGGUGAGGUAAUGGCUCACCAAGGCGUCGACGGGUAGCCGGCCUGAGAGGGUGACCGGCCACACUGGGACUGAGACACGGCCCAGACUCCUACGGGAGGCAGCAGUGGGGAAUAUUGCACAAUGGGCGCAAGCCUGAUGCAGCAACGCCGCGUGAGGGACGACGGCCUUCGGGUUGUAAACCUCUUUUAGCAAGGAAGAAGCGAAAGUGACGGUACUUGCAGAAAAAGCGCCGGCUAACUACGUGCCAGCAGCCGCGGUAAUACGUAGGGCGCAAGCGUUAUCCGGAAUUAUUGGGCGUAAAGAGCUCGUAGGCGGUUUGUCGCGUCUGCUGUGAAAACUGGGGGCUCAACCCCCAGCCUGCAGUGGGUACGGGCAGACUAGAGUGCGGUAGGGGAGAUUGGAAUUCCUGGUGUAGCGGUGGAAUGCGCAGAUAUCAGGAGGAACACCGAUGGCGAAGGCAGAUCUCUGGGCCGUAACUGACGCUGAGGAGCGAAAGGGUGGGGAGCAAACAGGCUUAGAUACCCUGGUAGUCCACCCCGUAAACGUUGGGAACUAGUUGUGGGGUCCAUUCCACGGAUUCCGUGACGCAGCUAACGCAUUAAGUUCCCCGCCUGGGGAGUACGGCCGCAAGGCUAAAACUCAAAGGAAUUGACGGGGACCCGCACAAGCGGCGGAGCAUGCGGAUUAAUUCGAUGCAACGCGAAGAACCUUACCAAGGCUUGACAUAUACGAGAACGGGCUAGAGAUAGUCAACUCUUUUGGACACUCGUAAACAGGUGGUGCAUGGUUGUCGUCAGCUCGUGUCGUGAGAUGUUGGGUUAAGUCCCGCAACGAGCGCAACCCUCGUUCUAUGUUGCCAGCACGUAAUGGUGGGAACUCAUGGGAUACUGCCGGGGUCAACUCGGAGGAAGGUGGGGAUGACGUCAAAUCAUCAUGCCCCUUAUGUCUUGGGCUUCACGCAUGC